GGUUAGUUUACUGCAUUGGAGUGGAAAAGGCAAACCAUGGGUCCGGCUCGAUGCGAGCCGGCCUUGCCCAUUAGAUGCCCUUUGGGCACCUUAUGAUCUGUUGCAAACACCUUAUGUUCUUGAAUCUUGAAAAGAAAUUGAAGCACAAGAGAGUGUAGAGAUCUGUGUACUAAGUUCAUAAGGAGAUCCUCCUCGAUUGUGU
rnacentral:misc_RNA from 1 species